rnacentral:rRNA from 1 species
UUUUAUGGAGAGUUUGAUCCUGGCUCAGGAUGAACGCUGGCGGCGUGCCUAAUACAUGCAAGUCGAGCGAACGGACGAGAACUUGCUUCUCUGAUGUUAGCGGCGGACGGGUGAGUAACACGUGGAUAACCUACCUAUAAGACUGGGAUAACUUCGGGAAACCGGAGCUAAUACCGGAUAAUAUUUUGAACCGCAUGGUUCAAAAGUGAAAGACGGUCUUGCUGUCACUUAUAGAUGGAUCCGCGCUGCAUUAGCUAGUUGGUAAGGUAACGGCUUACCAAGGCAACGAUGCAUAGCCGACCUGAGAGGGUGAUCGGCCACACUGGAACUGAGACACGGUCCAGACUCCUACGGGAGGCAGCAGUAGGGAAUCUUCCGCAAUGGGCGAAAGCCUGACGGAGCAACGCCGCGUGAGUGAUGAAGGUCUUCGGAUCGUAAAACUCUGUUAUUAGGGAAGAACAUAUGUGUAAGUAACUGUGCACAUCUUGACGGUACCUAAUCAGAAAGC